rnacentral:lncRNA from 10 species
ACAGUGAACGCACUUCAUGUGCUCAGGCAGAACCCGCACAGACAAUGCCGUGAAAGAGAAGGAAGCAUCCCACACACAAGUUCCCAUGACAGGGACUCCAGAGGGGCCAUCACCGGGAAGGGGUGUCUCAGCAGAAGCCUGGAGAAUAUGCUGAGUCAGCCAGGCUUGGAGGAGCCUUGUCUUGGCAGCCAGGGCGCUGCCAGGAGCCUCCCGUUUCCUGGAAAGCUGGAGACCAGAAUGUCCACGGACCUCGUCCCUCUGUGGCACUAAGGCCAUCUGAAUGUCUCAAUGGAAAGGCAUCCUAGGUCCGAGGUGACACAGUGGCCAGGGGACUUCCAAGCUGUGGCCCCAAUGUGCUGUGAGGGUGACCACCUACAUCUGCAUUUAUUUCCAACAGGUACCUCAUAGCCUAUGGAAUGUUCUAGAAACGAGGCUGGCAUAUGUGUGAAGUUAGCUCAGCAGAGACAACCAGCAGAGAUGGGGUUUCACCAUGUUCAUCAGGCUGCUCUCGAACUCCGGACCUCAAGUGAUCCGCCUGCCUUGGCCUCCCGAAGUGCUGGGAUUACAGAUGCGAGCUACCGUGCCCAGUUCCAUCCAUCCAUUUUAUAAAUAUUUACUGAAUGCCAGCUAUGUCCCAGGUACUGUUCUGGGCACUGGGGACACAGCAGAGAAGAAAUGGACAGCAACCACUGCCUGUACCACGCUGACAUUCUGGAAGGGGAAACAGUAAACAGAGACUUAAAUAGAGACACCAUAUUGGGCAAUGUUGGGAAUGUGAUGGGCGCAGUGGUCAGGGUAGUAGCAGGUGCUCAGGCCUCCCGGAGGGGUGACAUUUGAGCUGAGACUUGAGUCAAGACAGGUUUGAGCAUUGUACAAAUAUGGGGGAAGAAUAAAUAUAAAAACCCUU